GGGCAGGUGGCCGAGUGGUUAAAGGCGACAGACUGUAAAUCUGUUCUCUCACGAGUACGGAGGUUCGAAUCCUUCCCUGCCCACGA
rnacentral:tRNA from 1 species